rnacentral:rRNA from 1 species
UACGGAGGGUGCAAGCGUUGUCCGGAUUUAUUGGGUUUAAAGGGUGCGUAGGCGGCUUUUUAAGUCAGUGGUGAAAUACAGCAGCUCAACUGUUGAGGUGCCAUUGAUACUGAAGAGCUUGAGUACAGAUGAGGUAGGCGGAAUUUAUGGUGUAGCGGUGAAAUGCAUAGAGAUCCGGAAGAACACCGGUGGCGAAGGCGGCCUGCUGGGCAGUUGCUGACACUGAGGCGCGACAGCGUGGGGAGCAAACAGG